rnacentral:ncRNA from 2 species
CUUUGUCUUCAGGGCGGGGUGCAAUUCCCCACUGGCGGUACAGUCCGCGACCGGCGGCCGUAAGGCCUCCGCUGACCCGGUGAAACUCCGGAACCAACCGUAUAGUCGGGAUGGAAGAAGAUGAGU